rnacentral:rRNA from 1 species
AUACGGAGGGUGCAAGCGUUACUCGGAAUCACUGGGCGUAAAGGACGCGUAGGCGGGUUGGUAAGUCAGGUGUGAAAUCCUACAGCUUAACUGUAGAACUGCACUUGAAACUACCAACCUAGAGUAUGGGAGGGGGAGAUGGAAUUAGUGGUGGAGGGGUAAAAUCCGUAGAUAUCACUAGGAAUACCGAAAGCGAAGGCGAUCUCCUGGAACAUAACUGACGCUAAGGCGUGAAAGCGUGGGGAGCAAACAGGAUUAGAAACCCUGGUAGUCC